UGAAGACCGCGGGCAUUCAACUCGCAGUAGUUGAUAUCAUUUCCACGGAAAGCACUUCUGUUUCUGUUUGGUCAUCCUGGUGUUGAGCACGUUGCAGUCUAUGGUGCUCACACGCCUGGCUAAGUGUGGCACUCUCUGGCCCUGCAGCCUCUCCAAGUCCAAAGACUCACUGCUUAAAGACACAGACAAUGAAGACGACUCCAAGUUUGAUUUUAAAGCCUCAGAGGAAGAGAAGAAUACAGCCCUCCAGAAGGUGGUGAAGUUUCUCAACAAAAUGGCUGCACAAGACCAGAAAAAUGCUAUACACCAUCGCUUUGCCAACAAAGUGGACUUGAUCUGUUUCUGUAUCUAUCUCACCAUCCUCAUUGUUUACUCAUUCAUCAUUUUAUUUUUCUCCUUUGGUUCUCGAUGUGAGAUCGACCAUUUACAAUUCUGGCAUUAAAUUCUGUAUUUGCGUUUAACAAUGAUAUUUAAAUAAAUAUAAAGUGUGUACUCUUCAGUAGAGAUUUAACAAUAUUUAUUUCAAUAUGUUUGAGCUAAGAAUUAAAUUGAUUAGGACUAUGCAUCCUACCUAUGAAAUACCUCUGCAUAUCUAUCCAUUUUCCAUUCUUCCUGUGCCAUCCAAAUUCCUGCAUAGCCUACUGGUCAACGUACUGUAGUCAAAAAUAAUGCGAACGAUGACGUUCAGUGAUGAAGAUACGUCUAGCAACUUGCUGGUGCCGAGGCCCAGCAUGAUGACUCAAU
ensembl:lncRNA